CCUCAAAGAUGAUGAGGUUAAUAGGUUCGAGGUGGAAGCAUGGUGACAUGUGGAGCUGACGAAUACUAAUCGAUCGAAGACUUAAUCAAA
rnacentral:rRNA from 2 species